AUAACAUUCUGAAAAGAAUGCUAAUACCGCAUGACAUAUCGGAACCACAUGGUUGUGAUAUCAAAGAUUUUAUCGCUUGAAGAUGGACUCGCGUCCGAUUAGUUAGUUGGUGAGGUAACGGCUCACCAAGACCGCGAUCGGUAGCCGGACUGAGAGGUUGAACGGCCACAUUGGGACUGAGACACGGCCCAGACUCCUACGGGAGGCAGCAGUGGGGGAUAUUGCGCAAUGGGGGCAACCCUGACGCAGCAACGCCGCGUGAAGGAUGAAGGUUUUCGGAUUGUAAACUUCUUUUAUUAAGGACGAAAAAUGACGGUACUUAAUGAAUAAGCUCCGGCUAACUACGUGCCAGCAGCCGCGGUAAUACGUAGGGAGCAAGCGUUGUCCGGAUUUACUGGGUGUAAAGGGUGCGUAGGCGGCUUUGCAAGUCAGAUGUGAAAUCUAUGGGCUCAACCCAUAAACUGCAUUUGAAACUGUAGAGCUUGAGUGAAGUAGAGGCAGGCGGAAUUCCCCGUGUAGCGGUGAAAUGCGUAGAGAUGGGGAGGAACACCGGUGGCGAAGGCGGCCUGCUGGGCUUUAACUGACGCUGAGGCACGAAAGCGUGGGUAGCAAACAGGAUUAGAUACCCUGGUAGUCCACGCUGU
rnacentral:rRNA from 1 species